GUUGGAUUAGCUAGUUGGUGAGGUAACGGCUCACCAAGGCGAUGAUCCAUAGCUGGUCUGAGAGGAUGACCAGCCACACUGGGACUGAGACACGGCCCAGACUCCUACGGGAGGCAGCAGUGGGGAAUCUUGGACAAUGGGCGAAAGCCUGAUCCAGCCAUGCCGCGUGAGUGACGAAGGUCUUAGGAUUGUAAAGCUCUUUUGCAGGGGACGAUAAUGACGGUACCCGCAGAAUAAGCCCCGGCUAACUUCGUGCCAGCAGCCGCGGUAAUACGAAGGGGGCUAGCGUUGUUCGGAAUUACUGGGCGUAAAGCGCACGUAGGCGGACUUAUAAGUCAGGGGUGAAAUCCCGGGGCUCAACCUCGGGACUGCCUUUGAUACUGUCAGUCUCGAGACCGGAAGAGGUGAGUGGAAUUCCUAGUGUAGAGGUGAAAUUCGUAGAUAUUAGGAAGAACACCAGUGGCGAAGGCGGCUCUCUGG
rnacentral:rRNA from 1 species